GACGAACGCUGGCGGCGGGCUUAACACAUGCAAGUCGAGCGGGCAGCCUUUGCGUUUCCGCGGCGGACGGGUGAGGAACGCGUGUGAACGACGCCUGCAGCCUGCCAUAACCCUUGGGAUCUUUUGAUAAUACCGGAUACAUGCGCGGACAGGAAAGCUUAGUGGUCGUAGGAUCGUCGCACGUCUCAUUGGUUGGUUGGUGACGUUACGGCUAACCGAGGCGUGGUGCAGUAGCUGGUUUGAGAGGAUGAUCAGCUACACUGGCACUGAGACGCGGCCCAGACUCGUACGGGAGGCAGCAGUGGGGAAUAUUGGACGAGGGAGGCAGCUCUGAUCCAGCCACGCCGCGUGAGAGAUGCCGGCCUUAGGGUUGUAAAGCUCUCUUCUACGGGACGAUAAUGACGGUACCGGAUGAAUAAGCCCCGGCUAACUACGUG
rnacentral:rRNA from 1 species